rnacentral:lncRNA from 12 species
CCGUGCUGGGGGUAACUGUUCAUUUGUAUCACAAUGCUUUAACCUAAAUCUAGUCUUUUUUUCUCCCAAGAAGGGCCCGAGUUGAUAGAAGCAAUGUGGAAAAACCCAACCAUCUAAUCCCAGGAAGUACCAGUGGCAGUCAUUAAGUUAUCACCUACAGAAUCAGGAAACCAGAUGGGAGAGCAUUGUUCAGAAGAAGGAAUAAAUUGCACCGAAUCUGUGUCGCAGUUUCUGGCAUUUUGGAGGUUUCAUAAAGGAUGUAGCAGGAGGAAGUCUGGACAGCUGUCCAGAAAAGUGGGUUGCUUGACAUGGGCCUCAGGAAUGCCUUGUGGAACUUCAGCUCUUACUCCAUCAUCACAGCCUUGCAGAGAGGGGUGAUGGCUGCAUCUGGGAGUCCAUCUAAGGAAGAGACUGGUCUCUUUUGAACACUGGUGUGAAGCAAGGCUACACUUGCUUUCUGGGGCUGUUUAGCAUCAUCAUACAUAGCUACUGUGCACGAGCAGCAGCAUUCUGUGAGGUGGGUUGCACAUAUCUUGGAAGCAUAAAUCGUGCUAGUAGCACUGCUUUACUGAGC